rnacentral:tRNA from 1 species
GCAGAUAUGGCGGAAUGGCAGACGCGCUAGAUUCAGGUUCUAGUGAGAGCAAUCUCGUGCAGGUUCAAGUCCUGUUAUCUGCACCA